UUGAUAACAUAGUAUAAAGUAGUUCGGCUUGACAUUCAAUAUUGAGUGGUCAUACAUAUGAUUAACAUCAUACCAUCUGGUUUUGUAAGUAUUAUAUCUCAGGGAUGCUUACAAUUGUCACCAUCUAGCACUACUUUUCCAUGGCUGUAAUCAUUAGUAUUAUAAUUCUUUUGUUUUACAGAAUUAUCUGUUCAAUUUCUUCCCGUCACAGAGUAAGGAGGGCCAUCUUUUCCAAUCAGCAACUGAGCUUCUGCCCUUAACCUGUAAACAUGGAAGAUAAAUCACUUUCGUGUCGCGAGGAAUAAAGUUAAUAGUCUCCAAAGGCAAAUGAUGCUGACAUCGGAUUUGAGCGAUGAACCAUUUGGCAGAGGUAUGUCUACUCCUAUGAAAAGCAGAUAUCACUCCAUUAGUUUCCUGGCGAUGAUUAGAUUUGUUUUGUUCCCUUCUAUAGAUUGGGGUCAUUAAUCAAGUUCACAGUGUUGUAUAAGCAUGGACAUUAGGUAUUAAAUUUAGCCAGAGUUCAUUAUUAGGUUUGCAAAAAGAGUAUAGAUGGUCAUGUUCAAUAUUUAGUUGUACCUUUUCAAAUGACUGACAUGAGGUUUAGCAAAAGUAACUUUACGAUCCAGAUAUGGACCUUUCUAUAGCGGUUGUCGUGGCUUGUUAUGACAGCGGAAACAUAUUUAGAUUUCCUAGAUUUAUUCAUUCGUCAGUUGGACAUUUUAGACUCAUCCGUUCUGGUGGAUCAUGUUUCUAUGUAGGCUUACAUGUCAUUCUUGACUUAUCAUGACACCUGACAUUUGCCCUAUAGCAAAGUACGGAUCUUAAGGAGAAUAUGUGACUACACGGGUGGAGUGCUUUCUUAAAAUAAAGACUUGUGUGUGUAUGAGAUGGGGCAGUAGGGAGUUAUUAGGGGUGUUGUAUUUUUUCCUCUCCCGUUGCAACGCACGGGCAAUUUUCCUAGUAUUAAUAAAGCACGGAUUGACUUUGUCGGGUUUACCGUCACAAUACGCUUUCUUUCUGUGAAUUUACGUUUUCAGUUUGUAUUCAAAACAUAUACGCGAGGUGGUACUAAUAAAGCGGCUAUUGCCUUGUAAUAAGUCUAUACGCAAACCGGUACGACGAGAGAAAAGAAAAAAAAAAACGCAGCCGCCCGCACGACACACUGCCUCCCAGCCCCAUCUCCACCCCGGCGCUCCCCUUGCCGCGCGUCGCCGGCCCACACCCCCUAUCGCGCGGCGGCGCCGCCUAUCCCGCCGGUGCGCCUACCCCUGCCCCACGUGCCCCAACAGGCCAACACCGGUGGCCUUCCACUCCCCGGCGACCCGCGGCCAUCAUCGUGGAGACGUGCAAGCAAUGGCCGUGGCCUUCAUGAACGAGCUGACCCUGGUGUCGUGCGUCGUAUCUAAGCUUCCGGAGUUGCCGUCGUCGCUCACGCUCGACCUGCUCGACGCCCUCCUCAAAUCCGCUGCCGCCGCUUCGUCAAGGCUGCUCUUCUCCCCCAGCGGACCCCAGAUCCCAUUGGUCCCCUAGCCAGUUGCUGGCAGGCUGUCGACGGCGACGAACGCCACCGCCGCCUGAUUCUGGUUCAACCACUGAUCGAUCCAAUCUUCCACUGCAGAAAAGCACCAACAAGCAUUGGAUACGCCCUCGCCUGGUGAUCUCCCUGAAGGUGUUGUGAGGCAGGAAGUGUGAUUAGAAUCGACAAGGAGCAGCUAGAAGCAGUGACCAUCUCCCUUACAUGGAUUUGCAACGGCCAAAGUACUCUCUUAAUUCUUUAUUUUCACUAACUAUUCAUACAAGUUGUUCCAAAUUAGGUGAGCCCUUUCCAUGAGCUUUUGCCCACAACCUGUUUGAUGUUAUGCGUAUGAGGGAUCGAAAUACAUUUUAAUUUUCUGGUGAAACUCUUACUGUACGAGAAUGCUCAGCUCGUGGACCGAUUGGAGGUCGCUCGCAUAGCAGAUCAUCUCAUCGCUGCCCCAAGCUCGUCCACAGUGCUGCCUCGAGCUUCCUCCAUGGGACGCCAUCGCUAUUGCAACACCAUGGUCACCGGCUGACUGCCCGGCCUCUACUUCUUGCAGCCUGUUGAAUAAUCAAUUCGCUUGAUCGCAAAUAAAAUACAUGAUGUUUCUAAUGAGGCUAAAUACUUGUUUUAAGAGAAUGCUAGGGUUGUAUGGCAGCACCCAAAGGAGCAGUUUAUGGCGCUGGAAUUUUGAUUCAGUCUGUAGUAGAUGAUAAAUAUUAGUGCCCACUUCCUCUGCUAUAAUCAGAUUUUUUACAGAACACUAGCUCGUUUCAUUGAACAGAUCUAACAUGGUUUGGUGUUUAUCUAAUAGUUAGUUUGAUGAUAUGCCUUUGAGAAACAAUAGGCAUUGUCUUCUGGAAUGUUGUUGUUUUCACAAUAAUAAGUUCGAUAGCGUUCAUAAUAUUACUCGAAACACGUUUAUUAAGCAAAUUACAAGGGAAAUUAAGAAUCUCUAGGAUAACUUUGGUUGAUGUUUUAGAUAUAAAUUCAAAGGUUAAUGUUAAGUCAUCUGAUCCUGCAUGUUCUUAUGUGACACCCUUUAAAUACAUAUAUUGCAUCACACUGUUUUGUAUGACUACACAAGCACUGUAAUGGGGUCAACAUGCCACCAGAAUGAUCUGGCAUACUUUACCAUCUCAUUAGCAAUUCAAGUUACUCCAAUAGAUUGGUCCAUUCAUUUACUCAACUUGUGUAUGAAUGCUUCUAAGCAUAUAUUACUGUCAAUUUUACUAACAUGCCUACACGGUUGUUACUCCUCUUUUUUCUCAAUUAGUUGUGCACGAUAAAUACAAAUACAGCUACGUUUUGCUCAUACCAGUUGUUGUUUAGGUCAGUAAUUUCAUCUCAACUCUUAUUCAACUUGAAUUCUUACUUACUCCAGGUGAGCUUAUUGAAUCCUGAGAUGGAAAAGAUUGUACUUGCAGCAACACCGCCUGCAUCUUGACUGAUGCCCCCAUCAUUAUGAUCAACAUGGCCUAUUCCAGGUUAUCAAAUAUAAUCUUCACCAUGGCCGAAGGUAAAUUUGUUCAGGAUAUUAGUUUGUUUCAUCCACCAAGAUAAACAACAGGUGGCAUAUGGUGAUGAGAUAGGCUUCUUCAGCUCUUUAUUUGGCAGUCCUCUUCUCGAAUCCCCUCUCUUUUCAAUGUUGUCCUGAAAUUUCAGCAACACAACUUUGUGAUCUUGCCAGGCAAUCAUGCUAAUUGAGAAAGAUGUGGUAUCCAGGACUAUGUAUUGUACUACUCAGAAAAAUGUAUUUAUCUCUUUCAGGUCUGCGCUAGCUAUUUCUUUAAACGACAUUCUGACAGUAUGUGCAAAAGGAUGAUGCCCGUACAGAAUAAAUUUCUCUUUUUUAGGUUUGAAUUUUUGUCUUCUAUGGGUUACAAACCAAAGCUUGCUCGCUUACACUUUGGUGCUCCGGUUAAAGAUGGAAAGCUACAUCGUACUGUGAUGAGUGAGUGCUUGCGACGGGACAUGUGCAAGAACAAAAGGCACAAGAAGUGUACAAAUGAAGUCACAACGAGCAGAGUAGAGCAGGCUAGCGAUUAUAUGAUUUUGGGUCCGUGCUAGCUAUUUCAGAUUUUGAUUCUAAGAAAAGAUAUUUCUGAUUUUGAAGCUACUCCUUCAGGACACAUGAUUACAUUGCAUUAUACAGGUUGAAAAAAUGUGCAAAGUGGAAGUUGGUAGUAUAGCGGAUUGGUCUUUCUAAUCUGCACAUAAUUUUCAAUCAAAACAUGUGACAUUCAAGUUCAAACACAAACUAAUGCGUGCAAGAUUUGUUUCUCCCGUUGCAACGCACGGACCCUUUUGCUAGUACUAAUAAAGUACGGAUUAACUUUGUCUGUUUUACCGUCACAAUGCGCUUUCUUCUCACGUCAUAAUACGCUUUUACAAUUUGUAUGGACAAAAUCGUAAUAUAAACGAGGUGGUACUAAUUUGGGGUCAUGGUUUUAUGUAUUGAACCCGCACUCGGGUCCCUAAGUGAAAUAACGAUUCGCGAUCGAAAAAAAAGGUCCCGAACAGGUGCUGCAUCGCCCCCACCGCUACGCCUCGAUUGGCACCGGCGCAGGCCGCCCCGCCGCUCGACCUCGCCUCUGCUCCCUCCCCUUCCCCAACCCAAUAUAGAUGCCUAACCCGCGGGAACGGGCAGGCGGCCGGCAGGCGAUGCGAGGCGUGGUGGCGGCGUGAGGAAGACGGGCAGAUCCGGGCGCGGCGUCGACCGAUCUGGCGGCUGGUGUGGCGGCUUAUUCCGGUGCCAGCGGCAUCCUGCUCAUCCAGAGAAGGAAAGAGAAGGGCCUGAGGGAGAGAGGAAACAGAGGAAGAAAGGAGAAGGAGAAGGGGCGGCUUUCUUGAGCCAGAGCUUGGUUUGGCGAACGGUGCGAUAACGUUGAGGUGUUUGUUGUCUGCAGGUGUUGAUUGAUUUCCAGGAGAAUCCAAGGGCUGCUCAGGACGGCUCGGGAGCACGAACGCAACGGCGGUCGGGAUUGGGCAUCGUUGAGUUCAGUGAUUGGAGACGUGGCCAUUCGUCCCCGACGGAUCUGUGCCGCCAUGGCCUGAGAGAGCCUAGAGAAGGGAGGGUACAGACGAGCACCUGUAGGACGACCCGCCAUCACGGCCAGCGAUUGUCGACUCCGACAACAUCCGUUUGGUCAUAGUCGAAUCCUCCUGUCCUCUCGCGCCGUGUAUAUUCAGACUUAUUUGCGUGCGCCAUAGGUUUUAUGAACAUGGAGGUGCAGGCACCCCGAGGUGCAGAAGAUCCAUCACCUACCUCUACCUCCUCCACUACGCUGACAACAAUGGAUUGCUUGGAAUACUAAAUAGGAUGGCUUGGGAUUUGGGAGUAUGAUUCCCAAACGUGUUACUAUCAUAUUUGGCUUGCAGUGGUUGUGCAGGAGGAAGAUGUUGGUUGAUUGGAGUCCCUCGGAGCCUAGCGGUGCUGCUCAGCCCUAUGCAUGCCAUUGCUCGCCUCGGUGGGUAACUGGGAUCCUCACGCUACCUAUUUGGUCAUCCCUGGGAACUUCAAGUAGAUGACGAGACUGCAUCUUGAGAAGAAGCAUUAUUUACAACUCAGUAUUAUGUCAUGCAUGGAAGAAGCACUCGACCUUAUUACUAACUACUUCCUCUGUACACAAAUAUAGGACGUUUUAGACUGAACAUACAAGUCUCUAAAACGUCUUAUAUUAGUGUACGCAGUGAGUAAUAACAUGUAAACAGUUGUGUUACGUUCCUAUUCUGAUCGUGGAUUUCAAGCAUACUACUAACAAAAUGUUGGAGAGCGUGGCAGGUUUCAACUAAUUCAAAACAUGCCAAUACUGAAUUUCUAGCCUUCAUAUUGCCAUGUAUAUCCCAUAUAAAUUUCUGAAGUUUAUGAUCAGCAUAACUACAUUUAGCAGCUGUUGCAAGCUAAACACAGUUGGGUCGAGCAAAUUAGUUGUUGUUGGACUAAAAACAGUAGGCGCCAAUUUGCUUUUGUGCAGCAGGUGGGGAGAAAUUAUAUAUGUUAGAAGCCAACUUGGUCGUUUAUGUUAUUUGUUGGACGACGUUAUUUAUCUGUUCGGUUACUUGUGCAGAACUUUAUUUGAUUGCUGAAAUUGAGCUUGCAUUAGCAGUUUUUCUAUUUGAAUUUAGUCCAGGUAAUUCUUUCAGUUGGGGGAUUAAACCCUAAAUUAGGUAUUAUAUUCUUCAUUGAUUGUUGCUUGACUUUCGCUAGAGAUUUUGUUUUUCACAAGAAAUGGGUGUUGUAAAUGAAGGAUUCCAUUCCCCACUUUAAUAAUAUUUGAGGGACUAUAUAUAUUCAUGGUA